rnacentral:lncRNA from 1 species
CACACAUGAGAACAACCAAGUGGGAGAUGGUGCUAAGGGAAAGACACGCCAUUUGCCCUGAUGGUCUGAGGAGGUUGGUUUGCCAACCUCAAUUAUUAACACCCACUGAACACAAAGUAUUACCCUAGGCUCUGAGCCUCACAGUCUGGUGAAAGGAACAAAGGAGAAUAUUAAAAUUACUAUUGGCAAGGUAAAAUGUUCCUGGGUUAACUGAGAACCAGUCCCCAAACACUCAGAGACUUUCUAGUCCUCAUGUGGCUUCUAGGGGCUUCAUGAGCCAAGAAGAAAACGUGAAACUCCCACCCUACAAAAUGGUCAUGCAACUUCAAAAAGAGUCUCCAAUAGUUAGAUGGAGUAUUAUGUUCAAAUAUUAACACCGAAGCCCUCUGUACAUUACAAGGGGAUGUGUGAUGUAAGGAAUUGCUUUAAAAAUGCUAAAGUAUAUGGAAAAAAAACGAUCACAUGGUGAAAAUUACAGAAAGAAUCUGGGAAUGGUAGCAAUUAUUCAUUUGCCUUUAUUCACUCAAUCAAUAUUUAUUGAGGGUAAACCAUGAGCCUAGAAUGGAGUCUGUCACAUAUCAGGCACACGAUAACUAUCCCUGAAUGAAGAAGAGAAUACAUCAUUUUUCCGUAUUUUAUUCUAGGCCUGAGGGAUGUAUAGUGAAAACAGGACCUGGCUCUACCUUCCCAGAGGUCUAGUUGGGAAUGCAGAAAUUCAGCAAAUAAAUAAAUUCACAGGUGGACUUCAGACUGCAAUAGCAGCUGUAAAGAAACAAACAGUGUGGCUGGGGAUAGAGCUCAGUUGGUAGAAUGCUUGACUUGCAUGCACAGGGCCCUGGUUCAAUCCCCAGCACCACACAUACACACACACACAAAAAAAAAAGAAAGAAAGAAAGAAAAAAAAAUA